rnacentral:lncRNA from 1 species
UGAAUGCUAGGCUAGCCACACUUUGGAAUAUGUUCAGUUUGAAGUUUUGUGGAAGGGAUUAACGCUGAUUAUCACUUUUAGAAAAUUAUAACUAAAUUUUUUAUGGCCUCCAAUGUAUAUCGUAAGCACUCUAUCUUCUUUUAUGGGUUAUAUGAUAGUGUAUAGAAUUUCUUAGAUAUUCACAAAACGUAUAUCAUGUAAAAAAAAAAUCUUUUACCCAAAAAAAAAAGUAAAACAAAGUUAAUAAUUUAAAUAUCUUUUAAAAUAAAUUGACAUGUUCAUGACUAAUGAUAGAC